rnacentral:rRNA from 2 species
GGGUUGUGAGGUUAAGCGACUAAGCGUACACGGUGGAUGCCCUGGCAGUCAGAGGCGAUGAAGGGCGUGCUAAUCUGCGAUAAGCGCCGGUAAGGUGAUAUGAACCGUUAUAACCGGCGAUACCCGAAUGGGGAAACCCAGUGUGACUC